AUGCUUUAGUUGGUGGCUGGAAUUUCUCUAAUAGAAAAGAAGGUUGGCAGUGCUGCAGGAGUAGACAGAUGAAUCAUAAUGUUUGGAGAUGUCUUCAGUGACAGUAAAAAAGGAGCAGCUGAAAAGAGACAUAAAAGAGCUUCACUGUGUCCUUUUAUCAACCACGCAAAAAGGAAUAUAAUAAAAUCUCUCCCCCUGCAAAAAAAAAGAACUUUUUGAUCAUCAGUAUUUCUGUGGAAUCUUCUGUUUGUUAACAUUCCAACUUAGACCAAAUCUAGAGCCAUCUUAAUGGAAAUCCCCCCCACUUUUUCUUGCCAAUUUAUUUGCUCCCUGGAGCUCAUGUCCACGGAGAGAGAUUCUACUACAUAGGAGUAAUUGAAGCAUAUUUUGGAAGUGCGGACUUUUCUGAUAACAUCGUGUAAAAGCUGUGCCUCUACUUGGAAUGCACGCUGGGAAGAAAGCUGGGUAACAACAGCAGUAGCAGUUGAAAACCAGGACCAUUUCUUUGAGAUGCGGCCUCUGAGUACGCGGGCCUCUCACUGUUGUGGCCUCUCCCGUUGCGGAGCACAGGCUCCGGACGCACAGGCUCAGAGGCCAUGGCUCACGGACCCAGCCUCUCCGCGGCAUGUGGGAUUUUCCCGGACCGGGGCGCGAACCCGUGUCCCCUGCAUCGGCAGGCGGACUCUCAACCACUGCGCCACCAGAGAAGCCCGCCAUUAGAGUUUUUAAAAAAUUCUUGAGUAGAGUCCUGGCCUCUACGACAGAUAUUAAAUAGUGAUGGACCUUGCCAAGGAUUUGACAUUUCCGUCCACCUGCUUCUGCACAUUCUAUCUAAGAAUUCUAAGAAAUGUAGCUUUCAAAUCAGUGACUAAAGACAACUGGCUUUCUGCUCUGUUCUCGGGUGAUUACACUGUGAUCUUGCAGCUUAAGGUACAUGUUGACUCAAAGUGUGUGAUCUGGAAGGAUGAUGAUACAAAGAUCAAGAGUUAGCAGUGUAUAUUUAACACUGUCCAGAGAAGAACGACCUUGAGUCAAACAGAUAUGAAAACAGAGCAUCUGAAUGGCAUAGAAAGAAAGGGGAGAGGUUGAAGAAACAGCAGAGGAGAGAACUGAUGAAGCAAGUGAUGUGAGUGCCCUGACCGGAACAGAAGCCAAGACACACCUGAAGGAAUACCACCCAAUUCAACCCAGCGGGAGGCAGGCGAGGACCGAAACAGGUACAGCAGAUUCAGACAUUUGGUGGUGGGAAACCAUGUCUUCACUGCUGGCUUGUUCCUCUUGACUGAGGCAAGGUUUUUAGCUGAGAGGGAAGGGCUAGAGUUGGUUUUAGGAAAAAGUGAAGGCAUGAAAUAAGUUUUGGACAGAGAACAAACCAACCACAGAUAAAGGCAGGUACCCUCUUGAACAACUCACCAUACCUAUUUCCUUUGUCUGCCUAAAAUGUAUUUCCCCUUCCUUUUCACCUAGAAAAUCUUGCCAUCCUUCAGGACUUACCUCUAUUUCUAUGUCCUCUGUGAAGCCUUUUCUGACUGGUCCAUGGUAAUCCUACAGCUCUUGACUGUAUCAUUUUUCACUUACUCAUGACCUAACUUGCAGUAACUCUUCUGUGUUGUAUCAAUACAUGAUUUAAUUUUACAUGUUGUCUCCUUAAUUACAGUUCUUGUGGGCAAAA